CAAUAGCGUAUAUUAAAGUUGUUGCAGUUAGAACGCUCGUAGUCGGAUUUCGGGGCGGGCCGACCGGUCUGCCGAUGGGUAUGCACUGGCCGGCGCGUCCUUCCUUCCGGAGACCGUCCCUACUCUUAACUGAGCGGGGGCGGGAGACGGGACUUUUACUUUGAAAAAAUCAGAGUGUUUCAAGCAGGCAGCUCGCUCUUGCAUGGAUUAGCAUGGGAUAAUGAAAUAGGACUUUGGUGCUAUUUUGUUGGUUUCGAACACCGAAGUAAUGAUGAGAAGGGACAGUCAGGGGCACUCGUAUUUUGCCGAGAGAGGUGAAAUUCUCAGACCAGCGAAAGACGAACCACUGCGAAAGCAUUUGCCAGGGAUGUUUUCACUGA
rnacentral:rRNA from 1 species